rnacentral:snRNA from 1 species
GUGUUUGCUUCGACAGCACAUAUACUAAAAUUGGAGCAAUACAGAGAAGAUUAGCAUGGCCCCUGCGCAAGGAUGACACGCAAAGUCGUGAAGCGUUCCAUAUUUAA